GCUUGUCUCAAAGAUUAAGCCAUGCAUGUCUAAGUAUAAACAAAUUUGUACUGUGAAACUGCGAAUGGCUCAUUAAAUCAGUUAUAGUUUAUUUGAUAAUACCUUACUACUUGGAUAACCGUGGUAAUUCUAGAGCUAAUACAUGCAUAAAAGCCCGACUUCUGGAAGGGUGCACUUAUUAGAUAAAGCCAACGCUGGGUAAAACCAGUUUCCCUUGGUGAUUCAUAAUAAUUAAGCGGAUCGCAUGGCCUUGUGCUAGCGACAGUCCACUCGAUUUUCUGCCCUAUCAUGGUUGAGAUUGUAAGAUAGAGGCUUACAAUGCCUACAACGGGUAACGGGGAAUUAGGGUUCGAUUCCGGAGAGGGAGCCUGAGAAACGGCUACCACAUCCAAGGAAGGCAGCAGG
rnacentral:rRNA from 1 species